rnacentral:rRNA from 1 species
GUCCACGCCGUAAACGAUGGAUACUAGCUGUUGGGGGUAACCUCAGUGGCUAAGCGAAAGUGAUAAGUAUCCCACCUGGGGAGUACGUUCGCAAGAAUGAAACUCAAAGGAAUUGACGGGGCCCGCACAAGCGGUGGAGCAUGUGGUUUAAUUCGAUGAUACGCGAGGAACCUUACCAAGGCUUAAAUGUAGUUUGACAGGUUUGGAAACAGAUCUUUCUUCGGACAAAUUACAAGGUGCUGCAUGGUUGUCGU